CCCAGCGACGUCAAUUUGUCUAAUUAACUUCGUUACUAACUGGCCGGAUAGCCCUGGUUGCUGGGCCAACGAAUGGAAAAAGAAGACGAAGAAUAAAAGAUGGUAUACUCAAAUUCCAAUUAAUUCAAUGAUAAAAACUAAGUUUCAGAGAAUAUAUCAACACAGUAACAAAGAUUAAGGAAAAUUUAUUCCGCUGGAACAAGUCCCAUCGAAGAAUUUCCAUCCCUACUCUUGAAAAUUAUUGAAACUGGGACAGAAGGGCAUCACGAUGAGAAUUCAUGACAUUGAGGCAAACGUGACAAGAAUGUUUGCGACAAUCGAAUGACAAAGACAUAGAGAGACUAUCUUCAAGGCUGGGAAAAGGUAAGCAGGAACAUCGCUCGGGGCAAUAUUCAAAUACCUUUUCGGAUGGGAUAAAGUGACAUAUCUGCAUGAAUAAUGAGACGCGCUUAUAGCCAGGAGGGAGAUAAAGUACUUUUGACGUCGAAUGUCCGAAUGUAUCGCAAACGGUAUGGUGGAACAAAUCGAUGAUAUUUGCCAAGAGAUAUCCGUCCCAGUCCACGAACAGUUGGGACAACGAAGGAAUACCCAUGAGUCUGCAAUUUGUGAAUCUGAUAUAUAGGUCGACAAUUUCAAGGACCACUUUAUUGAAUUCUACCUAA